rnacentral:lncRNA from 10 species
GAAUAUAGGCAGUUGGAUACUAGACUUUGGAAUUUAAAAAGAAUGUCUGGAGUUAGAAUUGAGAGACUUGAACGUGGAGAUGGAGGUCAGGCUGCAGUGCGAUGGGAUCAUCUAUGGAGCAUAUGAGGAGAAGAGAAUCUGGAGGAGGAGGAGGGGGAGCCAGCAGGGGAGCAGCUGUGGGUUGGAGGAAGCCAGGAGGGAGAGUGCAAUGCCGAGAAAGCAAUGAAGAGCGUUUCGAAGCAUGCCAGCAGAACCCAAUGCUGCAAAGAGGCCUGGGAAUGGGAUUGCUGAGGGCCCUUCUCACAGUGAGCCCCUCAAGAGCAGCGUCAGGGGAUUGUGGGGACUGUUGGCACACAGCUGGCUUUGCUAGGUUGAAGACAAUGGGAGGUGUGGAAGACUUGUUGACUCAUUUAAAGAAGAUUGGAGGGAAAGGUAGGAUUGAGAGUGUUUCAGACAGAAAAAGGAUUAUAUGCUGAGGGUAAAGCACAAGUACAGAGGGUUGCAGAUAGUGCAGAAGUCUUUAAAAACAAUUAUUUUAACCCAACUUCCAGGGAGACUGAAUUUCUUCUGCCAGUCAGUAACACCAUCAACCUGGGAGUUGCCCCUGACCCCUCCAGUCUUAGCUCCUGCUCCUGUAACAAAAUACCACAAACUGGUUAGCUUAUAGAGAACAGAUGUUUAUUUCUUACAGUUCAGGAGUCUGGAAGUCCAAGAUCAUGGUGCCAUCAUGGCCGAGUUCUGGUGAGGGCCCUCUUCUGGGAUGCAGCGGCCAGCUUCUCAUGUUCUCACAGUGGGUGGAGGGUAAGCUUGCUCUCUGGCCUCCUCUUAAAAAGGCACUAAUCCCAUUCAUGAGGGCUCCACCUUCAUGACCUAAUUACCUCCCAAAGAUGCCAUCUCCAAACACCAUCAUUCUGGGGAUUCCAUUUCAACAUGAUUUGGGGGAUACAUCAGACCAUAACACUUUUCUUUUUCUCAACCUUCACAUCCAGUUGGUUCUCAAGCCCUGGCGAUUUUACGCGCUAGAUAGGUCUUAAGUUCAUCUCUACGCCUGCCCUGGUUAAGGUUCUCAUCAUUUCUCCUCUGGAUUCAUCUGCAACACAGGCUGCCGGGUUGGUUCCCACCUCCUAGAGCUGGAAGAGUGGGCUCUCUGAUUCUUUACACCCCCGCCUCAAUCCUCCUGCUGCCUGAAUAACCAUCUCCCCGUGACCUAGGAUAUAUCCCAGCCCCUUAGAGGCAUGCAAAGCCUUCCAUGUCUGACCCUGCCUCAUGUCUUGGAAGCCCUAGACUGCUGCUGUACCCUGAAGGAGGUACCUGCUCACAUUGGCCCCUCUGUCUGGAAUAACCCCACCCCGGUUCCACCCAAGUCAGGAAAGCUUCCCAACCCCUCCCUCCCACCACCCCAAAGCUAAGUGAAGUGACCCCUCUUCUUGCCUCUGUAACACCGCCAUGCACAUUUCAUACAGCCCUUGCUGAAACUUCAUCUAGUUCUCUGUUAGACUUAACAUUCCCUAAGGGCAGGUUUGGAACCUUACUCAUCUUUAUAUGGCGUCUAAAAUAGUGCUUGCUUUAUGAUAGGUGCUCAGUAAAGGUUGUCUUGAAUUGAGCAGAUCCUCUAGGGACAGGAGUUGGAUGGAGAGCAGACUGUAAAGCCUCAUGAGGGCAGGGGCCCUGCCUCUUCCUGAGCUCAGGAUACCCAGAGCCUAGCUCAGUGCCUGCCAUGAAAUUGUUCACUCCAUCAAGCCUUGUUAAAUGAGUUCGGGGCGGGGGGAGCAUGAUGGUUUUCUCUCUCUCAGAAAGAAAGCGCUGUAUCAAAGCCCUAGCACCCUCUCUACACCCACCUUCAGUAUUUCAUAUUAGAUGCGGCCCAAGUGAUACUUUCUUUACCGUCCCGUGAAGACAGCAUAUUGGCAGCCCUGCAAAAACAAAACAAAACAAAACCCUCAGUUCAUGGCAUACUUGCUAUAAAUCAGCUAUGUGUAUUGUCAAAUUGUAGAACUGAAAGUAUAUUCUGAUUCGGUGUGUGUAUAAGGAAAUAUACACCAGUAUAUGCAUUAAAACGUCAAGAAGAGCUGGGCACAGUGUCACAUGCCUGUAAACCCAGCUAUUCAGGAGGCUGAGGUGGGAGGAUCGGUUGAGGCCAGGAGUUUGAGGCUGCAGUGAGCUAUGAUUGCACAGCUGCACUCCAGCCUGUGCUGAGACCUCAUCUCUUAAAAAAUAAAAAAUAAAAAGUCUAAGAGGAUACACAGAAAUUUUUAAGUGGUUACCUCCACGGAAUGGGAUUAGGGGAUCAGAGGUGAGGGAACUCAUGGUUUGGCUAUUUCUCGUUCUUUCUGCACUGUUUCAAAUUUUUACAAGUGUAUGUUAUUGUACUUUUAAAAAGAUUAGCUUGGCAACAAGUCUAGCCUGAAAUGGGUGCUAUUUUGACUAGUCUGAGUGAAAAGUGAGGAUUUAAAUGAAGUAACCCCUAAACUCAGCCAGUCCCAUGUUUUUUUAACACUUGGAAUAUCUAAUUCCAUUUACACUGCAUUCUUCAAAUGUAAUUUUCAAAGAUGCCUUUUGCCUCAUCCCUUGCUUUUAAGUAUUAUUAUAGACUUUUGGAGACUCACGAAACAAGCAAUCCCUAAAUUCUCGCCCAGGAAAGUAUCUUGGAUUAAAUGGUUUUUGAGAACCUUGAGAGUGUAUAUUCUAUGAAAUGGAAGAAACAAGAACUAGACAGAGUCACAAAUGCUGUUGAUCACAGACAAUCUCUGCCAUCCAUAAGGUAAAUGUAAUACAUCUGGCGACCUGCUGAGUGUGAACUUGCAGCAGGUGAGGAAGGAACUCUGAACUCUCACAAUCUUGUUUCUUCAUUUCCCAGAGAGAAACUCGGCAAAGAGAAAAAGGACAUUUCCCUCCAGGUUAUCUGAAAGAAUUUCAAUGCUUACCUUUAAUCAUGUGACAUUGUUUAUCUUGGAUUAAAAGAAAAGAAAAUGUAUUUAUUUUGUGCAUAUUUUCAAUAAAAUAUAUAAAAUCG